rnacentral:rRNA from 1 species
GCGGCUGAUUAGGUCGUUGGUGGGGUAAUGGCCCACCAAGCCGAUGAUCGGUACGGGUUGUGAGAGCAAGGGCCCGGAGAUGGAACGUGAGACAAGGUUCCAGACCCUACGGGGUGCAGCAGGCGCGAAACCUCCGCAAUGUACGAAAGUGCGACGGGGGGAUCCCAAGUGUUAUGCUUUUUUGUAUGACUUUUCAUUAGUGUAAAAAGCUUUUAGAAUAAGAGCUGGGCAAGGCCGGUGCCAGCCGCCGCGGUAACACCGGCAGCUCGAGUGGUAGCUGUUUUUAUUGGGCCUAAAGCGUUCGUAGCCGGUUUGAUAAGUCUUUGGUGAAAGCUUGUAGCUUAACUAUAAGAAUUGCUGGAGAUACUAUUAGACUUGAAGUCGGGAGAGGUUAGAGGUACUACCGGGGUAGGGGUGAAAUCCUAUAAUCCUGGGAGGACCACCUGUGGCGAAGGCGUCUAACUGGAACGAUCUCGACGGUGAGUAACGAAAGCCAGGGGCGCGAACCGGAUUAGAUACCCGGGUAGUCCUGGCCGUAAACGAUGUGGACUUGGUGUUGGAAUGGCUUUGAGUUGUUCCGGUGCCGAAGGGAAGCUGUUAAGUCCACCGCCUGGGAAGUACGGUCGCAAGACUGAAACUUAA